rnacentral:rRNA from 1 species
UGCCGCGUGAGGGAAGAAGGCCUUCGGGUUGUAAAGCUCUUUUGUCAGGGAAGAAACGGGUGAGGUUAAUACCUUUGCCUAAUGACGGUACCUGAAGAAUAAGCACCGGCUAACUACGUGCCAGCAGCCGCGGUAAUACGUAGGGUGCAAGCGUUAAUCGGAAUUACUGGGCGUAAAGCGUGCGCAGGCGGUUAUGCAAGACAGAUGUGAAAUCCCCGGGCUCAACCUGGGAAUUGCAUUUGUGACUGUAUGGCUAGAGUGUGUCAGAGGGGGGUAGAAUUCCACGUGUAGCAGUGAAAUGCGUAGAUAUGUGGAGGAAUACCGAUGGCGAAGGCAGCCCCCUGGGAUAACACUGACGCUCAUGCACGAAAGCGUGGGGAGCAAACAGGAUUAGAUACCCUGGUAGUCCACGCCCUAAACGAUGUCUACUAGUUGUCGGGUCUUAAUUGACUUGGUAACGCAACUAACGCGUGAAGUAGACCGCCUGGGGAGUACGGUCGCAAGAUUAAAACUCAAAGGAAUUGACGGGGACCCGCACAAGCGGUGGAUGAUGUGGAUUAAUUCGAUGCAACGCGAAAAACCUUACCUACCCUUGACAUGUACGGAAUCCUGAAGAGAUUUA